ACCCAUACCCACGCACAACCAUAAAAACCUAGUUUUCAACAAUUCGACAGACGUAUCUUUUUCAGCCAGUGCCGCCGUACACAACCCUAGCUGGUAACGAUCGUUAACAAUGUUAGAGGAAAAGAGGCGACGUGAUCUCAGGGGAACUGAAGAACGUACAUGUUACUCGAUCAUAGCAUGUUGAGAAUUCAUAGGUUAUAACAGGUAUCCCGUGCAAUCUGACUGCACAUGGGGAUAUUCAACCUUUGCAAUCAUAAACCUUUGUUCAAGGUAUCAUGAGGCUGCGAAAUGCUUGAAAGUCUUCCUGGGAAAGAUUCUUGGAAAGCAAGCAUGGGAUACUUGAUCCGCAAGACACAGUCUCCAGAUUGCCUGAACCGCUGUGGAAGCUUGAAGAAUUUGUACCUCAACACACCAAAUCUUAAAACUUUAUACUUCCAUGGACCGCGUGGCAAACCAUGCACGAUUGAGCUUAUUAAUUGCAAAAAGUUAAUGAAUUUGCAUUUAGUUGGGGUUGCUAUGAACACUACGAUGUUCGUAAACUGCAACGAAAGUUUUCCGCUUCUUCAGAUGUUGACACUUGCUGGCUGUGCUAUGAGUGGAUGUAUUAACAUCUCAAGUAAUUCUCUCCACGAGUUAUGGUUUAUUGGAUUCAAUAAGCCCAUGGGUCUCACCAUUGAUGCCCCAAACGUAUCAUCUUUUAAGUACAAUGGCAUAGCUCCUUAUCAAAACAUCAACUUACCCCGUGUUGCUAUAGCUUAUGUUGAGCUAUAUCCUAAUCUGAACCAAAAGCGUGAAUGUGAUUUUAGAAUGUGGCCCAAUCAGUUAUAAUUCAAGAUUCUAAAAGAAAAGAUUGGGCAUUUGAUUUUAGAAUGUGGCCCAAUAAGUAGUACAAUUUCCCGAUAUGAACAUAGGGUUUUUUUAAGUUAGCGAUUUAUGUGUUGGUGUAGGGUGUGAUGCAGCUGAUGGGUUUUUAAGUGAUUGGUGGGGGGUAUUCUGGGACCAUUAUACUUCAAAGACACAUGCUGAUUCUAAUGCUGGUCAGGAUAUAUCACGGAAUCCUCUGCGCAGGUGAUCAUUAAUGGCUCAAGCUGAUUUUCAGGGCCUGUCUCAAGCCCAGGCCCAGACUGAGAUUCUGGCUCAUGUGUGGACUUUAGACAACAAUGGGAUGUUAGGUUUGGAUCCUUAUGCUGGUACAUUGGGACCAAUAUGGUACAAGAAUACUAUGCUAACAAUGUGAACAUGCUGAGUGAGCCUAUGCUGACUUCUACAUGGAAUGAUGAUCAGUUUGCUGGAAAAGGAGGUCCCUGAAGGUCUAAUCACAGGUGGCAGUAGAAAACAAAGUCAAUGGUGGCUUUUACUGACACUAGUUUGCUGGAAAAAGGAGCUCCCUGAAGGUCUAAUCACUCUUGAAGAUAAUCCUUUCUUCUAUCUCAAUAUGGUGUAAUUGGUUCUUGUCAUUCAAAACUAGAAACAAGUGUAGACGGUGUUUGUUUUUACCGCGAAUACAAUUGGCAAACUUAAUUUUUCA